AUUGAACGCUGGCGGCAUGCUUUACACAUGCAAGUCGAACGGCAGCACGGGCUUCGGCCUGGUGGCGAGUGGCGAACGGGUGAGUAAUAUAUCGGAACGUACCCAGAAGUGGGGGAUAACGUAGCGAAAGUUACGCUAAUACCGCAUACGAUCUAUGGAUGAAAGCAGGGGACCGCAAGGCCUUGUGCUCCUGGAGCGGCCGAUAUCUGAUUAGCUAGUUGGUGAGGUAAAGGCUCACCAAGGCGACGAUCAGUAGCUGGUCUGAGAGGACGACCAGCCACCCUGGAAGGGAGCCACGCCCAGCACCCCUGGGGGGGGAAGGGGGGGGGAAUUGUGGAAAAGGGGCGCAGGCCGGAUCCAGCAAUCCCGGGUGGGGAAAGAGGGCUUGGGGUUUGUAAAGCUUUUUUGUCAGGAAAGAAACGGUAGAGGCUAAUAUCUUUUGCUAAUGACGGUACCGAAAAAAAAAGCCCCGGCUAACUAGGUG
rnacentral:rRNA from 1 species